GGGGACGUAGUUUAACCAGGCAGAAUUGGGGCCUCCAGAGCCUUAGAUCUGGGUUCAAAUCGAUGGCGUUAAAUGCCAAAGUGAAUUUCCCAGCGUCCCCA
rnacentral:tRNA from 1 species